AGGCUGCAACUCGCCUACACGAAGCUGGAAUCGCUAGUAAUCGCGGAUCAGAAUGCCGCGGUGAAUACGUUCCCGGGUCUUGUACACACCGCCCGUCACACCAUGGGAGUCGGAAAUGCCCGAAGCCGGUGACUCAACCUUUAAGGAGAGAGCCGUCGAAGGCAGGUCUGAUAACUGGGGUGAAGUCGUAACAAGGUAUC
rnacentral:rRNA from 1 species